GAAUAAGAAGCAAGUUGCAAUUAGUUUCGACCUAAUAAUAUGGUAUUAAAUUACCCUUAUUUA
rnacentral:tRNA from 1 species